UACGGGGGGGGCAAGCGUUGUUCGGAAUUACUGGGCGUAAAGGGCGCGUAGGCGGCCUUCUAAGUCGGACGUGAAAUCCCUCGGCUUAACCGAGGAACUGCGUCUGAUACUGGAUGGCUUGAGUUUGGGAGAGGGAUGCGGAAUUCCAGGUGUAGCGGUGAAAUGCGUAGAUAUCUGGAGGAACACCGGUGGCGAAGGCGGCAUCCUGGACCAACACUGACGCUGAGUGAGCGAAAGCUAGGGGAGCGAACAGG
rnacentral:rRNA from 1 species